GACGAACGCUGGCGGCGUGCCUAAUACAUGCAAGUCGAACGCUGAAGCUUGGUGCUUGCACCGAGCGGAUGAGUUGCGAACGGGUGAGUAACGCGUAGGUAACCUGCCUGGUAGCGGGGGAUAACUAUUGGAAACGAUAGCUAAUACCGCAUAAGAGUAGAUGUUGCAUGACAUUUGCUUAAAAGGUGCAAUUGCAUCACUACCAGAUGGACCUGCGUUGUAUUAGCUAGUUGGUGAGGUAACGGCUCACCAAGGCAACGAUACAUAGCCGACCUGAGAGGGUGAUCGGCCACACUGGGACUGAGACACGGCCCAGACUCCUACGGGAGGCAGCAGUAGGGAAUCUUCGGCAAUGGACGGAAGUCUGACCGAGCAACGCCGCGUGAGUGAAGAAGGUUGUCGGAUCGUAAAGCUCUGUUGUAAGAGAAGAACGAGUGUGAGAGUAGAAAGUUCACACUGUGACGGUAGCUUACCAGAAAGGGACGGCUAACUACGUG
rnacentral:rRNA from 1 species